rnacentral:rRNA from 1 species
GACGAACGCUGGCGGCGUGCUUAACACAUGCAAGUCGAACGAUGAAGCCGGAGCCUGCUCCGGUGGAUUAGUGGCGAACGGGUGAGUAACACGUGAGCAAUCUGCCCUUGACUCUGGGAUAACUGCGGGAAACUGUAGCUAAUACCGGAUACGACACCUUGGGGCAUCCCAGGGUGUGGAAAGAGUUUCGGUCAAGGAUGAGCUCGCGGCCUAUCAGCUAGUUGGUGAGGUAAUGGCUCACCAAGGCGACGACGGGUAGCCGGCCUGAGAGGGUGACCGGCCACACUGGAACUGAGACACGGUCCAGACUCCGACGGGAGGCAGCAGUGGGGAAUAUUGCACAAUGGGCGAAAGCCUGAUGCAGCAACGCCGCGUGAGGGAUGAAGGCCUUCGGGUUGUAAACCUCUUUUAGCAGGGAAGAAGCGAAAGUGACGGUACCUGCAGAAAAAGCACCGGCUAACUACGUGCCAGCCGCCGCAGUAA